AAGUGACCUAUAGCUUGACAAACUGAUAGUAGGAACUGCUCUGUGCGGCUGUGGAGUACUGUUCCUCACAUAGACCAAUGGCCUAAUAGAAGUGAUUUAGACCUACAUGGUAAUUCCCACCUCCUGUUUCUCAUCUCUCCUAUGAGUCCUAUCCUUCAAGAUUGUAAGUCCUCACAGUAUUAGGUCCCUCAACUCUUCCUGUAUUUAUUUGACAAAUGUUG